rnacentral:ncRNA from 2 species
CGCGCUGCAUUCGAUCCGGGUGCCCUGGAAUGCAACCGCAUGACAGGGUGAAACGGGAAGUCCGGUGACGUCGGAAGUUCAGCUUCCGACCAGUCCGGCGCAGCCCCCGCUGCUGUAAGCCUGACGACUCCGCCACACGCCACUGAGCCUCGCGCUCGGGAAGGCCGGCGGACGAGGAAGAAGGCGAGCCAGAAGACCGGCCCGAUCGAACAAGAGGUG